AUGACUUCUCGGCCUUUUGGCUAAGAUCAAGUGUAGUAUCUGUUCUUAUCAGUUUAAUCAUUCUUCUUUUAAAGCCUUGAUAUCCAGUGAUAUUUUAACUCUCCCUAUAGUUUAUUCUUUCUAGAAUGUGAUAUAUCUGGAAUCAUAUGGUAUUAUACCCUUUUCACAUUGGCUUCCAUUAUUU